CACAGCUGUUGCAGAGGACGAACGGGGCGAGGUCCACACCAGGGACGUAGAGCGAGGAGCAGUGGCCAAAGCAGAGGCUGAUGUUUCUCAACAUGAUUCCAAAUUUCCUGACCUGGGAGGAAUCUGCAGUUCAGAAGUGCCACGCCUGACUGUCCACCGGCCCCAUUCCAGGCACUUUCUUCCUUUUUCACCUCCACUAUAAUUAGUGUGUAUCUCACCCAAAGUCUGUGAGCUGUUUGAGGUGAGGGACCAUCUCUACCUCAUUUCCUGAAUCUUCCAAGAUCCAAAAAUUACAGGAAGUGAUCACCCAGUGAAACCUGAAUGACAAGAAAAAGCCCAUCAGUAAAGAUCCUGGGAGAAAAUGGAGAAAAUUCUAGGUCUGGUAAUAGCAAAGGUAAUUAAUGCACAGUCUCAGGGACCACAUGGUGACAUGCCCCUUCUAUUUCCUAAUGGGUCUUCCUGUUCCUACAUGUUGACCCACUCAAUGUCUUUUCAGUUUAGCGACCAGAGGAGAAUCACAAAUCACAUCCAUCACUCCUCUUCUCAAAGCCCUCCCAUGGCUCCCCAUUGUCCUUAGAAUAAAAGUAGAAACCCUCAUCAUGUCCUCUAAUGCCUGCAUGGCUGGCCCCUGCCUGAUGCACUUACCUGUCCUCCACCCUCAAUUUGCUUCAUUCACUGGAUCUCAACCACAGAUCUCAACCACAUCUGUCCCUCAGGAAACCCUGGGGAAAGACUUAGAUUUGUUGAGAACUCUAGGAAAACUUCCCCAUGAUACAAGCUCACUGCAGCAUCAUUUCCGCAAUCAAAAACAAACAAUUUGGAAACAAAUGUCCAUCAAAACAUCCUGAUGGAAUGAACAAUUAUAGUUUAGUCAUACCACAGACAAUAUCAAGCAGAGUUUGUUGUUGUUUUUUUUCAAACUUUUUUUCCCCCACCACUAAGCACAGUAAGAAAUACAUUUUAUUUACAGGUCUUGACAAAGAGACCUUGACAAUCCUUUGAUUGACAUGGUCUUUGACCCCUCCCCUUGAACUGAGACAACCUUUGUGACUGGCUUGACCAAUAUAAUACAGUACAACAAAAAUGAUGUCAUGUGACUUCCAAAAUGCCUGCUUUUCAGCCUUGUUCAUUUGGGACCCAGCUGCCAUGUUGUGAGGAAGCUCAAACUGGCCCAUAUGAAGAGGCCGCUGUAUAGAUAUUCCAGCUGACAGCCCAGCUGAGGCUCCAGCCAGCAUCAAUCAUGAGACAUGAAUGAACGAAGAUUCCUUCUGAUGAUUCUGGAGGACUGGCAUCUAGACACUCAACUUUGAAUUCUUCCCAGCUGGGGCUACAGACAGCAAGGAGCAGAGAUAAACCAUCCCCACUGUGCCCUGCCUAAAUUCCUGAUCCACAUAAUUCAUGAGCAUACUAAAAACGGUUAUUUAGGGAAGGUUAGCACGUAAUUGCAACUACAAUACUAGUAUAUACAUCCAUGUAUAUAUGACAGAAAUAAAAGUUUUACCAAACAA